rnacentral:rRNA from 1 species
GAUGAACGCUAGCGACAGGCUUAACACAUGCAAGUCGAGGGGCAGCACAGGUAGCAAUACCGGGUGGCGACCGGCGCACGGGUGAGUAACGCGUAUGCAACUUACCUAUCAGAGGGGGAUAACCCGGCGAAAGUCGGACUAAUACCGCAUGAAGCAGGGGCCCCGCAUGGGGAUAUUUGCUAAAGAUUCAUCGCUGAUAGAUAGGCAUGCGUUCCAUUAGGCAGUUGGCGGGGUAACGGCCCACCAAACCGACGAUGGAUAGGGGUUCUGAGAGGAAGGUCCCCCACAUUGGUACUGAGACACGGACCAAACUCCUACGGGAGGCAGCAGUGAGGAAUAUUGGUCAAUGGGCGUAAGCCUGAACCAGCCAAGUCGCGUGAGGGAUGAAGGUUCUAUGGAUCGUAAACCUCUUUUAUAAGGGAAUAAAGUGCGGGACGUGUCCCGUUUUGUAUGUACCUUAUGAAUAAGGAUCGGCUAACUCCGUGCCAGCAGCCGCGGUAAUACGGAGGAUCCGAGCGUUAUCCGGAUUUAUUGGGUUUAAAGGGUGCGUAGGCGGCCUUUUAAGUCAGCGGUGAAAGUCUGUGGCUCAACCAUAGAAUUGCCGUUGAAACUGGGGGGCUUGAGUAUGUUUGAGGCAGGCGGAAUGCGUGGUGUAGCGGUGAAAUGCUUAGAUAUCACGCAGAACCCCGAUUGCGAAGGCAGCCUGCCAAGCCAUGACUGACGCUGAUGCACGAAAGCGUGGGGAUCAAACAGGAUUAGAUACCCUGGUAGUCCACGCAGUAAACGAUGAUCACUAGCUGUUUGCGAUACAGUGUAAGCGGCACAGCGAAAGCGUUAAGUGAUCCACCUGGGGAGUACGCCGGCAACGGUGAAACUCAAAGGAAUUGACGGGGGCCCGCACAAGCGGAGGAACAUGUGGUUUAAUUCGAUGAUACGCGAGGAACCUUACCCGGGUUUGAACGCAUUUCGACCGCUCUGGAAACAGAGCCUCUAGCAAUAGCGAUUUGCGAGGUGCUGCAUGGUUGUCGUCAGCUCGUGCCGUGAGGUGUCGGCUUAAGUGCCAUAACGAGCGCAACCCUUGCCACUAGUUACUAACAGGUUAGGCUGAGGACUCUGGUGGGACUGCCAGCGUAAGCUGCGAGGAAGGCGGGGAUGACGUCAAAUCAGCACGGCCCUUACAUCCGGGGCGACACACGUGUUACAAUGGCGUGGACAAAGGGAUGCCACCUGGCGACAGGGAGCGAAUCCCCAAACCACGUCUCAGUUCGGAUCGGAGUCUGCAACCCGACUCCGUGAAGCUGGAUUCGCUAGUAAUCGCGCAUCAGCCAUGGCGCGGUGAAUACGUUCCCGGGCCU